UCGGAUUGUUCCCCCGCCAGUAGUGAAGACGAGCUGGGUUUGGACCGUCGUGAGACAGGCU
rnacentral:rRNA from 1 species